GGAAAUCAGGGAUUAAGGCUUUUAAUUAAUGGCAUUUUAUGAAACGCCACUUUUUCUAAUAAUAAAUGACGUUUUUUAAAUGUCGUAAUUGUUAUUAAUCAAAACGGUCCCGUUUUAUGAAUAGAUGACGCUUUGAAACGCCUCCAAAUCCUAUCUCUCCACAAACCCUAUUUUGUCUCUCCAAACCUUUAUUUUGAAAACUCACCGCCGUCUACAAUAUGAAGUUUAAAUCUCUCACUCACUCCAAUCUCUCACUCUCAUGCUCUCUCUCAAUUCUUCUUCAGAGCGAUUGCAAUUUCGAAGUUUCUCAGAGCCAACCUAUCUGCAUCCGUAUGGAUUCAAUCUCAUAGUUUCUCAGAGCGAUUGCGAUUUUGAAGUUCGAUUUUGAGCAUCGCCGUCUACAAUCUCAGAAAAACCAAUCGAAUCUUUCAAAAUCUGUUUCAGCUCUGUGGAUUUGGAAAUCUUCAUCUUUUUCGAUUAGAGGUUAGUGCUUUCGGUCAUCCUGUCUGUCUGCAAACCCUAUUUUGUCUCUCCAAACCCUUAUUUUGAAAACCCACCGUCGUCUACAAUAUGAAGCUCGAAUCUAUCACUCACUCAAAUCUCCCACUCUCUUGCUCUCUCUCUCUUUCUGGUCCAUGGGUAUAAGAUGCAAGUAUGUUCUGUGGAAUCAUUGUCAGUUGCUGAGGGUUUUAGAUCGAAUCAAUAUGAAGUUCUCUCUCUUGAUUCUUCUUCAACUUGGUGAUUCCUCUCAAAGUGAUUGCGAUUUCGAAGUUCAAUUUUGAGCACUGCCAUCUACAAUAACCAAUCAAAACUUCAAAAUCUGCUUCAACUCCGUGAUUUAUCUCAGUGGUGGUGUUCUGUUUGUGAUUUAUCUUUGUUGAUUUGGAACUCUUCGUCUUCUUCGAUCAGAGGUUAGUGCUUUCAGUCCUUUGUUUUACAAUCUCAGAACUCUACAAUCUCAUUAGAUGGAAGGACAGAAUAUUCAUUGGAUCCUGUGCUAUAUUCAAAGAAACUUGGUGGCAUAAUAGCUUUUCUGGAUGAAGCUUGUUCUUGUGAGAUAGAUGAGGCUUAUUUUUUUGCUGUAUGUUCCCAAGAUCAACACAUGAAACCUU